rnacentral:rRNA from 1 species
UACGUAGGUGGCAAGCGUUACUCGGAAUCACUGGGCGUAAAGAGCGCGUAGGCGGGAUAGCAAGUCAGAUGUGAAAUCCUAUGGCUUAACCAUAGAACUGCAUUUGAAACUGUUAUUCUAGAGUAUGGGAGAGGCAGGCGGAAUUCCUAGUGUAGCGGUGAAAUGCGUAGAUAUUAGGAGGAACACCAGUGGCGAAGGCGGCCUGCUGGGCUUUUACUGACGCUGAGGCUCGAAAGUGUGGGGAGCAAACAGG